rnacentral:tRNA from 1 species
CGAGCAAGCCGCUAUGGUGAAAUCGGUAGACACGCUGCUCUUAGGAAGUAGUGCUAGAGCAUCUCGGUUCGAGUCCGAGUGGCGGCAUGCCAUCUUCU